GGAAGUGUGCCUGAGACACAAGGACUACUUUGAUAAAGCAGACACGGGAUUAAACCUAACCCCACUUCU
rnacentral:tRNA from 1 species